GCUUGAACUCAUCGUCAAUGGCUUCAAGUCUUUCCUUAGUGUACUCAUCUCGGCUAUCGCUUAUCCACCUGCAUAUGUGAAGAAACCUCUUGUUACAAUACCUUGAGAGAUCAAAACUUUUAACAAUCAGAUAGUAUCCAGCCAGAGACAUUUAAUGAAACACAAAGAAUCCUUAGCACCUUAGAGGUCUCUCAUCCAUUUCAAUUGAACAAAGUAGGCUAAACUACACUACAACUAAAGGGGAAAAAACAACCUAAAUAUCCUUACAUGAUGACACAGAUAUAAUCAGAUAGUUGAACUUGCGGUUUUCUAUAUAUAGAGAUCUGAAGAAGCACAGAAAGUCCUUAGCACCUUCCUCUAGAGGUCUUUCCUCCAUUUCAGUAUAGAGCUAAACUACACUACAACUAAAGGAGCAAGAGAACCUAAACGCCCUACAAAAUGACACAGUUACAAUCAGACCGUUGAAUUUACGGUUUUCUACAGAGACGGAUGAAGAAGCACAAAGAGCCCUUAUCACCUUCUUCAGCGACC
rnacentral:lncRNA from 1 species